AAUCAACGCUGGCGGCGUGCCUCAGACAUGCAAGUCGAACGCGAAAGUUUCCUUCGGGAAACAAGUAGAGUGGCGCACGGGUGAGUAACACGUAGGUAAUCUACCUUCGGAUGGGGAAUAACAAUCGGAAACGGUUGCUAAUACCGCAUAAUGCAGCGGCACCUAAUGGUGACAGUUGUUAAAGCGGGGGAUCGAAAGACCUCGCGUCUGAAGAGGAGCCUGCGGCGGAUUAGCUAGNGGUAAGGUAAUGGCUUACCAAGGCUACGAUCCGUAACCGGCCUGAGAGGGCGGUCGGUCACACUGACACUGACAUACGGGUCAGACUCCUACGGGAGGCAGCAGUCGGGAAUUUUGGGCAAUGGGCGAAAGCCUGACCCAGCAACGCCGCGUGAAGGAUGAAAUCCCUCGGGAUGUAAACUUCGCAAGAACGGGAAGAAUAAGCGAUAGUUAAUAUCUGUCGUGAUGACGGUACCGUUUGUAAGCUCCGGCUAACUCCGUGCCAGCAGCCG
rnacentral:rRNA from 1 species